UACGUAGGGGCCUAGCGUUGUCCGGAUUUAUUGGGCGUAAAGAGCUCGUAGGCGGUUCGGUAAGUCAGGUGUGAAAUCUCCACGCUCAACGUGGAGGCGCCACCUGAAACUGCCGUGACUCGAGUCCGGUAGGGGAGUGUGGAAUUCCCGGUGUGAGCGGUGAAAUGCGCAGAUAUCAGGAGGAACACCAAUGGCGAAGGCAGCACUCUGGGCCGAAAUUGACGCUGAGGAGCGAAAGCGUGGGGAGCAAACAGG
rnacentral:rRNA from 1 species